AUGCGGGCAGCGGGAUCCGGUGGUCGUUGGCGGCAACGGUGGCUUCUACGACGGUCGGUGCGCGCGAUCUGGCGCCUCCCCUCCUCCCCUGUUCGGCAUGCGGGCCAGCCUGGUCGGGCCGCACUUCUUCUUGGUUGCCGGUUCUGUACAGGAGGCGCUGCUAGUGUCGGGGAUCUAGUUCGGGCGAAAUCCCUAGCCGGGCAUGACCGGCCACAUCGACGGCGACGCCUGAGGGCAUCGUUCCCCUCCUUGGAGGCGUCGGUAUGGACUGAUCUCCUCACUUCCCCUUCCUGUAGGUCUCCCGGACGAAAGCCCUAA
rnacentral:rRNA from 1 species